GAUGAACGCUAGCUACAGGCUUAACACAUGCAAGUCGAGGGGCAGCAUCGCGAUAGCUUGCUAUUGCGGAUGGCGACCGGCGCACGGGUGAGUAACGCGUAUCCAACCUUCCCGCAACUGGGGGAUAACCUUGCGAAAGUAAGACUAAUACCCCAUGGUCUCCACGGAUGGCAUCUGAAAUGGAGUAAAGGUUUCGGCCGGUUGCGGAUGGGGAUGCGUCCGAUUAGCUUGACGGCGGGGUAACGGCCCACCGUGGCAUCGAUCGGUAGGGGUUCUGAGAGGAAGGUCCCCCCACAUUGGAACUGAGACACGGUCCAAACUCCUACGGGAGGCAGCAGUGAGGAAUAUUGGUCAAUGGGCGGAAGCCUGAACCAGCCAAGUAGCGUGAAGGACGACUGCCCUAUGGGUUGUAAACUUCUUUUAUGCGGGGAUAAAGUUCGCCACGUGUGGCGUUUUGCAGGUACCGCAUGAAUAAGGACCGGCUAAUUCCGUG
rnacentral:rRNA from 1 species